rnacentral:rRNA from 1 species
GACGAACGCUGGCGGCGUGCCUAAUACAUGCAAGUUGAGCGCUGAAGGUUGGUACUUGUACCAACUGGAUGAGCAGCGAACGGGUGAGUAACGCGUGGGGAAUCUGCCUUUGAGCGGGGGACAACAUUUGGAAACGAAUGCUAAUACCGCAUAAAAACUUUAAACACAAGUUUUAAGUUUGAAAGAUGCAAUUGCAUCACUCAAAGAUGAUCCCGCGUUGUAUUAGCUAGUUGGUGAGGUAAAGGCUCACCAAGGCGAUGAUACAUAGCCGACCUGAGAGGGUGAUCGGCCACAUUGGGACGGAGACACGGCCCAAACUCCUACGGGAGGCAGCAGUAGGGAAUCUUCGGCAAGGGACGAAAGUCUGACCGAGCAACGCCGCGUGAGUGAAGAAGGUUUUCGGAUCGUAAAACUCUGUUGGUAGAGAAGAACGUUGGUGAGAGUGGAAAGCUCAUCAAGUGACGGUAACUACCCAGAAAGGGACGGCUAACUACGUG